UGGGGUAUUGUGGAUUUCAUGUAAAGAGAGAUAGCCUACCCCAUCAAGGAACAUGUUCAAGGGGGACCCAUCUUUUGUUACAUCUUCUAAACAUUUUAAACUUUAGAGCCAUAUUGCAUUAAACCCCCAAGAAUAGAAUUGCACUUUCGUCGAUGCCUUAAUCCUUUAACUGGCUAACAUCAAAAUUUUCAGUCACCGCCUUCUCCAACCAAACAGACUUCACCAGGUUUCCUAAAAAUAAUUUCCUAUCAACCGCCUUUUGUUAAGACAUUUUGCUUAAUCCAUCUAAUGGUAUCUUAAGCAUAAAUUAAGUCUCCGAUAUAGCACAUAAAAUUCCUAUCCCAAUUAAGAAAGAGGGAGGCUGCCAUCAGUGAGAGUCCUCUACAAUCCAGGAACCAAGAUCAUGUGACAUGACCAGCACAACUGGUCCAACUGCCCAAUAUGGUCAGUCAGCAUUCGAGAAGCAUCUCGAAAUUCAUCCAAUGAAGUUCUGAGAUUCACCCAGUCAAGAACCGUCUAAAGUCCAUCAACACCUUCACACAAUCCUAUUCACGAAGUCAUUUAAUGACUCAAAGCCCACAUCCCUGCCUUAAUAGUCAGUUACAGAGGUGAGCCAAUUUACACUUCAAAAUUGAAUAACUCUUUCACAGUCAAUAUUAAAAUUUGUAACCACGAAAUUAACACUGAAGACCCACCGAAAACAGUGAAACAAAAUGAAAAACGAAAAGAACGGACAUUACCGCAGAUUCUGGCUAAUAAAAAUUCUAUGCUCCAAAUGCCUUUUCUAUACGAUGAGUGAAUGCAUGGGGUCAUUGGGGGCAGUCUUAAUUACGUAGUAGUUUUUACUGAAGUAUAUAUACAUACCUUACAAAAUUUUUCAAUCUUUAUUUCACUAAAAUUGAUCAAAAGGGGGGUCUAGAUCCAUGUGAACAGGAAAUAUAAAUGACAACAAGAACAGCAAUACCAUCUUUUACACCUACCUGGAUAUCACAUUGCUCUCUUACUUA
rnacentral:lncRNA from 1 species